GACGAACGCUGGCGGCGUGCUUAACACAUGCAAGUCGAACGGAAAGGCCCUGCGUUUGUGGGGUGCUCGAGUGGCGAACGGGUGAGUAACACGUGAGUAACCUGCCCUUGACUUUGGGAUAACUUCAGGAAACUGGGGCUAAUACCGGAUAGGAGCUCCUGCUGCAUGGUGGGGGUUGGAAAGUUUCGGCGGUUGGGGCUGGACUCGCGGCUUAUCAGCUUGUUGGUGGGGUAGUGGCUUACCAAGGCUUUGACGGGUAGCCGGCCUGAGAGGGUGACCGGCCACAUUGGGACUGAGAUACGGCCCAGACUCCUACGGGAGGCAGCAGUGGGGAAUAUUGCACAAUGGGCGGAAGCCUGAUGCAGCAACGCCGCGUGCGGGAUGACGGCCUUCGGGUUGUAAACCGCUUUCGCCUGUGACGAAGCGUGAGUGACGGUAAUGGGUAAAGAAGCACCGGCUAACUACGUG
rnacentral:rRNA from 1 species